GGAUCCACCUGCCUCGGCCUCCCAAAGUGCUGGGAUUACAGGUGUGAGCCACCGUGCCCAGCCUGAAAUUCCUUAUUUUAUCUUUAAAAAAUCAUAUAAGUUUGCAUCCUUCUCUUUAAUGUGUGGGGAUUUCCCUCCCCUUUCUUAAAAACAUCUUCCCCUCUCAGUCUUCUACCUGAGUGGAUGUUCCGAGAAGAUACACCCGGGUUAUGUCCCAAGGCUGUGGACAUCUCAUGCCCCACGGUGACCUCUAGGCCCUUCAAGCCCCAGGCCCCGGGCCACCUGGUCUGGCUGGGGAGAAGUUCAGGGAUGGUUGAGGUUGAUGGUUGAGGGCCUGCCAGCUGUCACGGCCUGGGGCUGGCCCCAUCUCUGCUCUGAACUCUGCUGCCUCUCCCUCUCCUCUUGGCUCCUAGACGUUUGUCCAGGCAGCUCCAACUGUCCCACUAGGAGUUCUCAGGACACCUCACCCCUCCCUUUGUCCACUGAGGGUCCUUGUUUCAGAGGGGGCACUGCCUGUCUUCUGUCUUCAUCCCUGUCUGCUGGGCAGCCUGACUACAUGACCCAGGGCUUUCUGUGCCAAUUAAGAGGAAACUGAGGCCAAGUGGAGAGGUGCCAGCCCGGGGAGCGCAGCGAGGAGGGCUGUUGGGUGUCCAGGGGCGGGUGUCUCUGGGUAGAUGGGGGUACCUAGGCUUGAAGAGAGAUCUGGGCACUGGCCAGGGAGGCAGGAGGAAGGAGGGAAGGCCGCGGGGCACCCGGGGGCUGCUGCCUGGCAGGUCCCCGUGCCCAGGCAAGGGAAGUUUCUUAUUUCUCCUGCUCCGACUUCCCCCUUUGAUUUAUUAUAGCCAUGAAAUGCUCUGCUCUCUUCUCUUUUCCUUGCUGUCCCCGGGGCUGGAGGAGCACGGGCCUCCCCAGGAGCGGGCCUCGGCCUCCCUGGACUCCCGUCUCCUUCCGAGAGCUGAGCCUGGGGAACCAGAAGCAAGAGUCCCUAGAGCUUCCAAGAUUUUUGGUUUCAAACCAGUUUCCUGCUGACCAGAAUGAAAUGGAGCCACAUUCCAGCACAAUGCACCUGCUGACCUCCUGCAAAUCAGGGACCUUCUCCGCCCCUCUUUUGUUCCGCUGCAGAAGGGGGAAACUGGGAAUGUGCUGUUCUGGGGUCCCGCCACCUCCAGCCAGCCACUGUCCCCGUCUUCCCAAAACCUCCUCGUUGUCCCUCCUCUGUCCUCCUCCUCCAUCCUCCCUCGCCCUGCUCUCCUCCUUUUUGCCUGAGGUUCACGCUGCCUCCUCACCUCUUGUCCAGUUUCUCCCUUCUCUCUGCUCCCUCCUUUUAUCUUGCUAUUUUGCUUCUCUUUCCUUUCCUCUCUUUUCCCCCCUCCCCUUCCUGCCUGCUCCCUGCCUCAUCUUCUCAGUCUCUCCGUUCUUCCUCUAGCUUCCUUCCCUCUCCAGAAGACCCAGCCCUUCCUAGAGCCCCCGAAGCCAGGGUUCAUGCCCCAGCUCUCUACCCGCACAUGCUAUGCAACCCUGGGCCAGUCACUCGUCUCUCGGGCCUCAGUUGAAUGGAUGGCUGUCUUGGUGAUGUGAGAUCAUAGGGUGGAAGCACCCAGCAUGGUGCCAGGCACUCAAAACUUUUUUUCUUUUCCUUUUUAAGGAACUACUAACUGUGAGGCUGUGGAUUACCAAACCCUUCCUGUUCUUGGAAUCUGGGUCCUACUAUUCCCAAGAAUUUCAAUUACCACGGGUCCCUGGGGAUGUAAGGGGAUGAGGCUUCUGGUGUCCUUGGGGAGGGGGAGGAGGGGGAAGAGGAGCUGGGAGGACACUCUAGCAUUGUCCCAGAGGGCAGAGGACAUUCUGCCUAUUUCCAGAGGUUAUUGACUCUGGAUCUCUUUUAUGGACUUCCUCACCCAGGCCCCUUGAGCUUGGCCAUACUUGAUGCAAUGGGACAUCUUCCUUCUUCUGGAGCCUCUUGAAUCUUAGGCCUUGGGGACACGUAGCCUACCUGGUUUCUUGGCUGCACCCACGGAGGAGAGCCCCAUACUCCCUACUUAAAACCAGCAAAGGCUCCACAGCCAUCCCUGUACAUGACUCAGGCUCCUUGGCUUGGCACUCAAGGCCCUUUGCCUUCCUGUCCUGCUUUGCUUCCAGCUGCGAGGACGGUGACUCCCUGUUUUUCUGUUCUUUUCCUUUGCUUAAGUUGAUUCUCAGCCAGACAUGCCUUCCCUUCACAUGCUUCCCUAAGCCAUCCUAUCUGGGACGCUGACCCCAUCAAUCGUUCCCAAAUGCACCUUUGAGACCGAGUGUACCUGGCACCUCUCCUCUUGCCCCACUAUCUGCUCACAUGAUCCUCUGCAGGCCUGUAAGUGGCUGGAGGCUCCGAGUAUGCCUCAUUCAUGUCUGUCCCCUUUACUAGGCCCGGACCUAUAAUCCCAACAUUUGGGAAGGCUGAGGCAGGCAGAUUGCUUGAGCCCAGGAGUUCAAGAUCAGUCUGGGCAACAUGGUGAAACCCUAUCUCUACAAAAAAUACAGAAAAUUAGACGAGACUACAGGUGGCACACACCCGUAGUCCCAGCCACUCUGGAGGCUGGGGCAGGAGGAUCGCUUGAGCCCGGGAGGUCCAGGCUGCAGUGGGCCGAGAUCAUGCCAUUGCACUCCAGCCUCAGUGAUAAAGCAACAUUCUGUCUCAAAAGAAAAAGAACUGGCUGGGCAUGGUGGCUCACAUCUGUAAUCCCAGCACUUUGGGAGACCAAGGCAGGUGGAUCACCUGAGAUCAGGAGUUUGAGACUAGCCUGGCCAACAUGAUGAAACUCCUCCUCUACUAAAAAUACAAUAAUUAGCUGGGCAUGAUGGCGGGCACCUGUAAUCCCACAUACUCGGGAGGCUGAGGCAGGAGAAUCACUUGAACCUGGGAGGCGAAGUGAGCCAAGAUUGUGCCACUGCACUCCAGCCUGGGUGACAAGAGCGAAACUCAGUCUCAAAAGAACAAGAAAAAGAGAAAAGAAGAAAGAAAAAGAACUAUCAUUUGAUCCAGCAAUCUCACUGAGUAUCUAACCAAAGGAAAAUAAAUCACUAUAUCAAAAAGAUACUGCA
rnacentral:lncRNA from 1 species